GUAUGGUAGGGGAGAUACUAUGAUCAAGAAAGUGGCUUUCCUGGGGCAAGGCUUAUCCAUUAUUUUCUGACAUGUUGACCUCUGCAGUUUCUUCAAAUGUGAGAAACUGGACUGCAUAAUUAGAGUUGGAGGAGAAUUUGCUUAAGCUCUCUU
rnacentral:snRNA from 11 species